rnacentral:rRNA from 1 species
UCUUCCCUCUGGCGGCGUGCCUAAUACAUGCAAGUCGAGCGAACAGAUAAGGAGCUUGCUCCUUUGAAGUUAGCGGCGGACGGGUGAGUAACACGUGGGUAACCUACCUAUAAGACUGGGAUAACUUCGGGAAACCGGAGCUAAUACCGGAUAACAUUUAGAACCGCAUGGUUCUAAAGUGCAAGAUGGUUUUGCUAUCACUUAUAGAAGGACCCGCGCCGUAUUAGCUAGUUGGUAAGGUAACGGCUUACCAAGGCGACGAUACGUAGCCGCCCUGAGAGGGUGGUCGGCCACACUGGAACUGAGACACGGUCCAGGCUCCUACGGGAGGCAGCAGUAGGGAAUCUUCCGCAAUGGGCGAAAGCCUGACGGAGCAACGCCGCGUGAGUGAUGAAGGGUUUCGGCUCGUAAAACUCUGUUAUUAGGGAAGAACAAAUGUGUAAGUAACUGUGCACAUCUUGGCGGUAGCUAAUCAGAAAGCCACGGGUAACUACGUG